UAACAUUUGUUAUCCUUAUUUUGUUUACAGCAACUAAUUGACUAAAAACAGCUGAAAAUGUAGCCAACUGAAACGACAAGCCUAUAGAUUAUAGGUAAUAUAAUUGGGUGAGUCAGACCGUCUCAGAUGAGCCCGGGCACAGAGAAGCCACCAGCAUUUAUGGCAGUUCGUCAUACACCAGGGGUGUGCAAACCUUUUGCAAGGAGGGCCAGAUUUGAUAAAGUGAAGGGGCCCGGGGGCCAAUAGUUUUUUUCGGACAUUUUCUAACUACAAAAG